GACUAACGCUGGCGGCGUGCCUAACACAUGCAAGUCGAACGGGGCCCUGGUUCGCCAGGGUCUAGUGGCAGACGGGUGAGUAACACGUAGGUAAUGUACCCUCUUGCUGGGGAUACCUGUCCGAAAGGAUGGUUAAUACCGAAUGAGCCACGACCGGGGCAUCCUGGUGGUGGCAAACUGGCAACGGGCGAGAGGAUCAGCCUGCGGACCAUCAGCUGGUUGGUGGGGUAACGGCCUACCAAGGCGACGACGGUUAGCCGGUUUGAGAGGACGAUCGGCCACACUGGGACUGAAACACGGCCCAGACUCCUACGGGAGGCAGCAGUGAGGAAUAUUGCGCAAUGGGCGAAAGCCUGACGCAGCGACGCCGCGUGAGGGAUGAAGGCCUUCGGGUCGUAAACCUCUGUCAGUGGGGAAGUGAACGGACGGUACCCACUGAGGAAGCAUCGGCUUACUACGUGCCAGCAGCCGCGGUAAUACGUAGGAUGCAAGCGUUGUCCGGAUUUACUGGGCGUAAAGAGCUCGUAGGCGGGGACGCGCGUCUCGGAGGAAAUUCCAGGGCUCAACCCUGGAGCUUUCCGAGAUACGGCGUCUCUUGAGGGCAGAAGAGGAGAACAGAAUUCCCGGUGUAGCGGUGAAAUGCGUAGAUAUCGGGAGGAAUACCAGUGGCGAAGGCGGUUCUCUGGUCUGUCUCUGACGCUGAGGAGCGAAAGCGUGGGUAGCGAACG
rnacentral:rRNA from 1 species